CCUGGUGGCUCAGACGGUAAAGCAUCUGCCUGCAAUGCGGGAGACCUGGGUUCAAUCCCUAGGUCAGGA
rnacentral:tRNA from 1 species